UAGGGAAUCUUCCACAAUGGGCGCAAGCCUGAUGGAGCAACACCGCGUGAGUGAAGAAGGGUUUCGGCUCGUAAAGCUCUGUUGUUGGAGAAGAACGUGCGUGAGAGUAACUGUUCACGCAGUGACGGUAUCCAACUAGAAAGUCACGGCUAACUACGUGCC
rnacentral:rRNA from 1 species